UGCCUCACUAACUUACUUAUGCUAUUUUGUAGCCUUAGACAUUUACAUUUUAGAAAAAUAUUUGUUUUUUUACAGGAAACCCAUUGGCAGCUGUGGUGUAGAGUUCGUGAUUAUUUGAACGACAAGGUUUUAUUUUCGUUGAUCUUCAUUCUUAUUCUUACUAAACCAGAGCAGGGACAAAUCCGGAUACUUAGGCUUUUACAGGGAUAUCUUUGGUCUCUAGGAGAAAGAAAUCACAGGAA